CAGCGUCUACCACCUAGUUAGUGCUUACAAAGUAGGUGCUCAAUAAUUGUAAUGCUCUUCCCAGGUUGAACAUUCGCUAUAUUAAGACCAUGCACGUGUCCCCAGACCUAGUUCUUUUUCUUCGUCUGGUUUUAUAAAUGCUGGUGAUGAAC
ensembl:snoRNA SNORA72 Small nucleolar RNA SNORA72